GGUAACGUAGAAGCUUGAA
rnacentral:misc_RNA from 1 species